rnacentral:tRNA from 1 species
CGGGGCGUGGUGUAACGGCUAACAUUCCUGUUUUGGGAACAGGCGACUUCGGGUUCGAAUCCCGACGCCCCGACCA